AUGCAGCAGCAAAAGCGAAAUAGCAGCAGCAGCUCCAGAAACUUGAUAGCGCGUGAGGGAGGAGGUCGAGGACGCAGGCGGGGCAGCGGUGCUGGUGACGGUCGAGGACGACGGCUCCGGUCAGCGAAGCACGGGUGCAGGGAAGGCGGUGUUCCUACUCGGGGAGGCGCAGGUGAUGGGCGCCGUGGUACUCUGCUGCAGGGUGCCAUGGCGGGGAGGCGAUGA
rnacentral:rRNA from 1 species